UUACAGGCUUAACACAUGCAAGUCGAGGGGCAGCAUGGUCUUAGCUUGCUAAGGCCGAUGGCGACCGGCGCACGGGUGAGUAACGCGUAUCCAACCUGCCUUACACUCUUGGACAGCCUUCUGAAAGGGAGAUUAAUACAAGAUGUUAUCAUGAGUAAGCAUUUUCGCAUGAUUAAAGGUUUACCGGUGUAAGAUGGGGAUGCGUUCCAUUAGAUAGUAGGCGGGGUAACGGCCCACCUAGUCUUCGAUGGAUAGGGGUUCUGAGAGGAAGGUCCCCCACAUUGGAACUGAGACACGGUCCAAACUCCUACGGGAGGCAGCAGUGAGGAAUAUUGGUCAAUGGACGAGAGUCUGAACCAGCCAAGUAGCGUGAAGGAUGAAGGUUCUAUGGAUUGUAAACUUCUUUUAUACGGGAAUAAACGGAUCCACGUGUGGAUUUUUGCAUGUACCGUAUGAAUAAGGAUCGGCUAACUCCGUGCCAGCAGCCGCGGUAAUACGGAGGAUCCGAGCGUUAUCCGGAUUUAUUGGGUUUAAAGGGAGCGUAGAUGGGUUGUUAAGUCAGUUGUGAAAGUUUGCGGCUCAACCGUAAAAUUGCAAUUGAUACUGGCAGUCUUGAGUACAGUUGAGGUAGGCGGAAUUCGUGGUGUAGCGGUGAAAUGCUUAGAUAUCACGAAGAACUCCGAUUGCGAAAGGCAGCUUACUAGCCUGUAACUGACAUUGAUGCUCGAAAGUGUGGGUAUCAAACAGGAUUAGAUACCCUGGUAGUCCACACGGUAAACGAUGAAUACUCGCUGUAGGCGAUAUACAGUCUGCGGCCAAGCGAAAGCAUUAAGUAUUCCACCUGGGGAGUACGCCGGCAACGGUGAAACUCAAAGGAAUUGACGGGGGCCCGCACAAGCGGAGGAACAUGUGGUUUAAUUCGAUGAUACGCGAGGAACCUUACCCGGGCUUAAAUUGCAACCGAAUAUGGCGGAAACGCUAUAGCUAGCAAUAGCGGUUGUGAAGGUGCUGCAUGGUUGUCGUCAGCUCGUGCCGUGAGGUGUCGGCUUAAGUGCCAUAACGAGCGCAACCCUUGCCGAUAGUUACUAACAGGUCAUGCUGAGGACUCUGUCGGGACUGCCAUCGUAAGAUGUGAGGAAGGUGGGGAUGACGUCAAAUCAGCACGGCCCUUACGUCCGGGGCUACACACGUGUUACAAUGGGGGGUACAGAGGGCUGCUACCACGCAAGUGGAUGCCAAUCCCAAAAACCUCUCUCAGUCCGGAUUGAAGUCUGCAACCCGACUUCAUGAAGCUGGAUUCGCUAGUAAUCGCGCAUCAGCCACGGCGCGGUGAAUACGUUCCCGGGCCUUGUACACACCGCCCGUCAAGCCAUGGGAGCCGGGGGUACCUGAAGUGCGUAACCGCAAGGAGCGCCCUAGGGUAAAACUGGUGACUGGGG
rnacentral:rRNA from 1 species